rnacentral:rRNA from 1 species
GACGAACGCUGGCGGCGUGCCUAAUACAUGCGAGUUGAGCGAUGAAGAUUGGUGCUUGCACCAAUUUGAAGAGCAGCGAACGGGUGAGUAACGCGUGGGGAAUCUGCCUUUGAGCGGGGGACAACAUUUGGAAACGAAUGCUAAUACCGCAUAACAACUUUAAACAUAAGUUUUAAGUUUGAAAGAUGCAAUUGCAUCACUCAAAGAUGAUCCCGCGUUGUAUUAGCUAGUUGGUGAGGUAAAGGCUCACCAAGGCGAUGAUACAUAGCCGACCUGAGAGGGUGAUCGGCCACAUUGGGACUGAGACACGGCCCAAACUCCUACGGGAGGCAGCAGUAGGGAAUCUUCGGCAAUGGACGAAAGUCUGACCGAGCAACGCCGCGUGAGUGAAGAAGGGUUUCGGAUCGUAAAACUCUGUUGGUAGAGAAGAACGUUGGUGAGAGUGGAAAGCUCAUCAAGUGACGGUAACUACACAGAAAGGGACGGCUAACUACGUG